UCGGGAAUUUUGGGCAAUGGGCGAAAGCCUGACCCAGCAACGCCGCGUGAAGGAUGAAGUCUCUCGGGAUGUAAACUUCGUAAGAAUAGGAAGAAUAAAUGACGGUACUAUUUGUAAGGUCCGGCUAACUACGUGCCAGCAGCCGCGGUAAUACGUAGGGACCAAGCGUUGUUCGGAUUUACUGGGCGUAAAGGGCGCGUAGGCGGCGUGGUAAGUCACUUGUGAAAUCUCCGAGCUUAACUCGGAACGGUCAAGUGAUACUGCUGUGCUAGAGUACAGAAGGGGCAAUCGGAAUUCUUGGUGUAGCGGUGAAAUGCGUAGAUAUCAAGAGGAACACCUGAGGUGAAGACGGGUUGCUGGGCUGAUACUGACGCUGAGGCGCGAAAGCUAGGGUAGCAAACAGGAUUAGAUACCCCAGUAGUCCCUGAGCGGGCUGGCAAGGCGCAU
rnacentral:rRNA from 1 species